AUACGUAGGGUGCAAGCGUUAAUCGGAAUUACUGGGCGUAAAGCGUGCGCAGGCGGUUUUGUAAGACAGAGGUGAAAUCCCCGGGCUCAACCUGGGAACUGCCUUUGUGACAGCAAGGCUAGAGGACGGCAGAGGGGGAUGGAAUUCCGCGUGUAGCAGUGAAAUGCGUAGAUAUGCGGAGGAACACCGGUGGCGAAGGAAAUCCCCUGGGCCUGUACUGACGCUCAUGCACGAAAGCGUGGGGAGCAAACAGGAUUAGAUACCCUGGUAGUCCACGCCCUAAACGAUGUCAACUGGUUGUUGGGGAUUUAUUUUCUCAGUAACGAAGCUAACGCGUGAAGUUGACCGCCUGGGGAGUACGGCCGCAAGGUUAAAACUCAAAUGAAUUGGCGGGG
rnacentral:rRNA from 1 species